GGGGGUGUAGCUCAGUGGUAGAGCACAUGCCUAGAAUGCAGGAGGCCCUGGGUUCCAUCCUAGCAUUGCAA
rnacentral:tRNA from 1 species